rnacentral:rRNA from 1 species
AUGGCGACCAAGAGGAGCGUGGGCACCCUCGGGGAGGCGGAUCUCAAGGGGAAGAAGGUGUUCGUGCGCGCCGACCUCAACGUGCCGCUCGACGACGCCCAGAAGAUCACCGACGACACCCGCAUCCGCGCAUCCAUCCCCACCAUCAAGUACCUCCUCGAGAAGGGUGCCAAGGUCAUCCUGGCCAGCCAUCUGGGCCGCCCAAAAGGUGUCACCCCCAAGUUCAGCUUGAAGCCUCUUGUUCCACGCCUGUCUGAGCUCCUUGGACUUGAAGUUGUGAUGGCCCCUGACUGCAUUGGUGAAGAAGUUGAGAAAUUGGCUGCUGCUUUGCCAGAUGGCGGUGUUCUACUCCUGGAGAAUGUGAGAUUCUACAAGGAGGAAGAGAAGAAUGAUCCUGAGUUUGCUAAGAAGCUUGCAUCGGUUGCUGACCUUUACGUAAAUGAUGCUUUCGGCACUGCACAUAGGGCUCAUGCUUCAACCGAGGGUGUAACCAAGUUUUUGAGGCCUUCUGUUGCUGGCUUCCUCAUGCAGAAGGAACUUGACUAUCUUGUCGGAGCUGUUGCCAACCCAAAGAAGCCAUUUGCUGCCAUUGUUGGUGGAUCCAAGGUCUCAUCUAAGAUUGGUGUGAUCGAGUCUCUGCUGGCCAAGGUUGAUAUCCUCAUCCUUGGUGGUGGUAUGAUCUUCACAUUCUACAAGGCCCAGGGAUUACCUGUUGGGAAGUCCCUUGUGGAGGAAGACAAACUUGAACUGGCAACUUCACUGAUUGAAACGGCAAAGUCCAAGGGUGUUAAGCUCUUGCUACCGACAGAUGUUGUUGUGGCUGACAAGUUUGCAGCAGAUGCUGAAAGCAAGAUUGUUCCUGCCACUGCUAUCCCUGAUGGUUGGAUGGGUCUGGAUGUUGGUCCAGAUUCCAUCAAGACUUUCGCAGAAGCCUUGGACACCACCAAGACUGUUAUCUGGAACGGUCCUAUGGGAGUCUUUGAGUUUGAGAAGUUUGCCGCAGGCACUGAUGCAAUCGCGAAGCAGUUGGCUGAGCUUACUGGGAAGGGUGUGACGACCAUCAUCGGUGGAGGUGACUCUGUUGCUGCUGUUGAGAAGGCUGGGCUGGCCGACAAGAUGAGCCACAUUUCGACCGGCGGUGGCGCGAGCUUGGAGCUGCUGGAAGGCAAGCCCCUCCCAGGUGUUCUUGCCCUUGACGAGGCGUAG